CGCUUCUUCCCCCCCGGAGGCGAAGCGGGGGGCUCACCGCAUCCGGACGGAGCGGCCGGGCGUGCGCGUAUCCCCCGCCUCCUGCUGCCUCGCUCCUUUGUGAAGGGGCUUCUCUUCGGCGGCGGGAAGCAGCGCGCGGAGAGUUCAAGAAGCAUUUGGACAGUGCGCUCAGAUGUGACUCUUGGGGUGUCCUAUGAAGGGUCAGGAUUUGGACUUGAUGAUCCUGAUGGGACCCUUCCAACUCAGCAUGUUCUAUGACAGUCAUUAUAAAGCUUUCUUCUUGCAGCAGGAACAUGGAACUUAACAACAGCAUAAUGAAACUGCAGUGAACUUCUGGAUAUGAAUUUGAUCUACCCAUGGUUCGUUCUUCAUGCUUGUGAUGGGUUCUGGUAGCCUUGAGGAACUGAAAGGUAGUAUGAGCCAAGCUGGAGACACACAGGGACUCAGCGCAUGCAACUCCAUUGGAUUCUAGCUGUGAAGGUACUCUUGUUGCCCAAAUAUUAAAUACUGAAAUCUGAGAGAAAUCUCUGCAUUAAGAUUAAAUGUUUUGCUGUCAUGUACGGAUGUUAUCAGCUUCGAUCAGCUCUUAUCUGGCAAAAAAAGAAUUAGUAAGAAAAUAGCAUCAGUGAAGCAGCUGUUUAAAAGAUUGCAUCCUUUUAUUCAACAGGUUCUGCUCCUCUGGGUGAGGGACUGUGCUCAUUAAUCUUUCUUUUGGAACAGGAUUUGAAGCCAAGUACCUAAAAUCUGAGUGGUAGAAUUGUACAACCUUUUUUAUGUCUGCACAUCUGCAUUCUUCCUGAUUCCAGUAAUACUAUGCUCUUCUUGACGAGGUGCAUAUCUGGAAGGUAAAAAUAAAGAAAUGGUCCUUGCUUUUUUGUUAAGUAGGUACUUACCAGGAAACCAGUAUCUCUGAACAUGCAAGAGAUGUUCUGUUCAUAUUUGUCCAUUCAGGAGAUUACACCAUGUUUGUUCCUCUGAAAAGAGAGUUCCAUGCAAAGUACAUUUUCUGUGUUAUGUAUUGUCAAUAAACAUGUUUCCGUUAUGGACCAUUGAUAGGAUCAAACCAGGAGGAAAAGUGCUUUGUACUCCAAAUUAAACUUCAGAUGACAAGGGCCAAUAAAAACACCUUAAUGAAUGCUUUUUAAAAGACCUCAAGUGGGGAUUGAGAGAAGCAGAGUAAUAAGAACAGGGUAAUAGUGUCAUUUUAAGGGCAUUUGAGAACAGGAUCACAUUUAUACCACAUUUCUGAGAAGUGUAAGCCAAGAACAGCAGCCUUACCCUUCAUCUGCCCCUAAGUACAAACUGCUGCCCUCUCAGUUGCCCUCUGCUUUUGGCUGACAAAGGCAUUCUCAUUACUGAGCAGCAAAACAGUUUGAAUUAAUCUGGAUUAAAAUUAAUCAUGACUAUUUUUUCUUUCAAGUGAACUUUGAAGCGGACCCAUUCUCCCAUUUAGCUCAUUGCUUGGCAAUGCAAAUACUUAUACUGGCAGCAGGCAGGGAGCAACAAAGGGACAAGAGCAAGCAUUUGGGAACAGAGAAAGGGCAGGGCUGUUCUUUUUGGCAGCAAUAUUAUACUGUUUGCAGAACUGCAAUGUUAAAGCAUCCCAUUCCGACUCUGUUAGGUUAUUUCUGCUUAUGCUAACAGAACCAGAGCAGAAGAAGAGCAGGCUAUGUUGGAUGGGAGGCUUGAACAAGGCAAUCAAACCGCACGCUGUUAUACAGUGGCCAGAGUGUUCCUUGGUAAUGAGGGCUCGAGUAGUAAAUAGUUUAAAAGCCAACAGUGGAGCAAUCAGUCAUGCAGCUUUUGUGAAGCGAUGUGGAGACCAAAUUCUGGUUUGUGCUGCAGCCGGUUAGCACUGUGCUGCUGACACAAAGCACCUCUAAAGCCAAGGUAGCAAAUUAAUGCAGGCAACUGGCAUAGCAUGUCUUAUACCAUUGCUCACCUGGCAGCUAGUUACUUCUCUGCCUGAAAAGGGAGUGUAGUCAGAUCAUCCCUGAUCUGAGACUCUCUUAUCUGUCCCAGGGGCUCUUAUUUGUUGGUACAGUCCUGUGCCUGUAUAUCUCAUUUAAAAUUGCUAUAAGAACAGGGUAGGAGUGAAUGUUUACAUCUUCAGGUUGCUUCUGCUCUGAACGAGGUAUGGGGUCUUCGGCUGCACAACUUUCCUUGUUCCACAAAUAUGCCCUCUAACAAAGAAAACCAGGAAAAGUAAAUACCUUCCAGUAAAAUGAAAUUAUUCUCUUUAUUGUUUAUGUAUAUUGGAACACUUGCUAAGUGAUAGCUUAAAACACAUAUUUGAUGGAAAUGAGAAAUUGCUUACGAUUUGGAAUACACAAAGCAUUUGAUAGCUAUCUGAUCAUGUAACAGUGCAUAGAAAGCUUACCUCCUAGGGCUCUCUGGGCAAGCUGUAGCUUAAGGAGGUGCUUAAAGCAGGUAAUUACCUCAUCUUUUUCCAUGAACAUAAAGUAUCUUUCACGUGAUCAAAAAGUCAUCUCCAUUAUGUAACUGAUGCUUUUUCAGUCAAGAGUACAGGAAUCCC